UUUAACACUGUCUGUUCUUAUCGCUGUAUCCUUAAUCAAUAUCUACACAUAAAUAGCCCAUAUUUAGCAUUUGGAGUGGUAUUUGCAGCGCUUGAGUGUAUACAGAUUACUUGCGUGAGCAUAUUUAGUCCUUGUUGACGUUUGAGUGCUUGCUGUUUCAUUUUUAAAACAGGGUUCAUAGCGUUCCAGUUAUUUCCUCUUUGAUUUCUUUCGCCUUCUGGGUUUUGCGCUCUGGUCCAAGUCCCACGACUCACUCCUCGUCGCCGCCAAUGAUGACGACUCAAUCAAGCGCUUCUACGACCUCGCGUCGAGCACUCCCGCGAGGUCCGAUUCUUGGUGGUUGGAUUGUGUUUUUGAUGCUUGCUGUUGCGAAAGUGGGUGAUUGGAUCGAGAACCUGAGAAGG